GCAUGCAUUGCUUUCUUUUAUAUUUUAAAUGCUUAAAUAUAUGGGGAGCACAGUCUCUAUGUUGAAAGUUGUAUUUUAUCUAACAGUUAAAAAACUGAUGUCAAGAAAAUUGAUAAAUGUUUGGAAUUCGAAUAAAUAUUGCCUAGGAGGCAUCGAUGCAAUAACAUGGAACAUUUCCACAGCAGCAGCGCCUCAAAGUGUUUGGCCACAAUUACGCAUUGGAGCUGAGCGGCUAGAGUAAGGGGGCAGAUGCGGCGAAACUGGAGCUGAAGCUGUAGCUGUAGCUGGGCGUGAGAUGCAUACGCUGCCAUCAAAUUUAAUCGCCAUGAAAUUUGUGGGCCAUAAAAAUGGAUGGGGAGGAGCGUGGGCGGCGCGUAACGUUACACCAAAUUUUAUUAGCUUCAAUUUAACAAUUUGUUGGAAGGGGGAAGGUGGCCGGAGUGGUCCCCCUUGACUUUAUUAUUAAUAUUUAAACAGGCGGCAGCAACAUUAGAAUUAUGCGAGCGGCGACUUCAUUUCACCUGCUGCAGUUAAUAAGCGGCCAGCGCUACCCAAAAGCCUGAAACAGAAACCAUUUUAAUUUUUCACAUGGAUGAGUGCAAAAUUAAGACAUUAAAUGAAUGCGCGUCCCCAUCUACGGUGUGCGGCCAAAUUGAGCUGGCUGCCACGAGUCGCACAGCUGGCGCCCGAGCAGAGGGUCCCAACACUGUCUGGCUGGGUUGCUGACGAACAACUGAUUUUAAUAACAGUCAUCUGCCGCUGUGCAUAACGAUGCGUAACGCGAAUGCGAACGCGAAGGCGAGUGCUCCCUGUCCACGUUAUGACUUUGAUUCAUCAGCAGCAGCCCGAGCAGGAGCUGUAGAUGGAGCUGGAGCCGGAGCAGCAGCAGCAGCAGCAGCAGCAGCAAGAGCCAAGGCGGACGGGCACAGACACUGUCCGUGUCGGCAUUUGCAUACAAAUGGGCGUUGCCAUAAGUUCACUGGCGUUGCCACAAUUUGCUUUUAAAACGUGCAUAUUCUAAUUGCCAGCAAUUUGAGGUGGCGUCUACCGUUGCCGAUGGCGUCGCUGUCGCCAUCGUUGACAAAAGAGCAAAGUUUAUGGCUAAUACAGGCAUUAGGUAAGCUGGUAAUAUCCGCAAAUCUUUCCCCCUACCAACCACACAGAGCGCGAAACGCUUAAGACAAAAAGCGACUUAAAGUCAAGCAAUUCUCGUGAAUUCCCCAAGCAUUUUGCAAUAGCUUUGCUAGCCCACAUGCUCCACGCAGCAAGUCCUGCAACUCGUUCCCCAGGCAGCGUCAGUAAUAAAACUUUAUUGAAUUGUAUUGAUUUUAAAAUUAUUACCGCUGAGGCGGAAGUAAUGCCAUUG